CCGGCGUUUUCUUCUGCAGUCAACAGUGUCGACUCACAAUGGAGAGGAUCCUGCUAGUCUUGUUUCUUUCAGCCUGCCCUGUCCUCUCCGGCAGCCUUCCCCGUCAGUACCACUUUGUUAAUCUAUCUCUGACUUGGACUGAAGCUCUGGCCUACUGCAGACAGACUUAUACAGACAUCGUCACAAUCCAGGACUCUGAAGAACUGACCCGGCUCAUGGACACGCUUUUAUCUGCUAGGCACAGCUCUGACACCUGGAUUGGUCUCUACAGUGUAAUAGACUGGUGGUGGUCUGAUGGCUUCAUAGGGGCCGGUGCUAAUUACAGCAAUUGGGAAAUCUCUUUUAAUGAGCCCAAUUUUAUUGGAGCCAGUCAGUUCUGUGUGUCUAUUGGCAGCACUGGAUUGUGGUGGGAUGAUUACUGUGACAUAAAUUACUCAGUUCUCUGUUACAAUGGUAAUCAUGUCUAGCAAGAUUUUUCAAAAGCAUUAUUCUAAAAUAGGAUGUCAACAACUUACUGACCUCUGACUUCUUUUAAACGACAGGCACACAGCUGGAACCUGAAUAUGUUUAUGUGGACAAAGAAAUGAAUUGGUCCAGUGCCCAGAUGUACUGCAGGGAGAACUUUGUAGAUCUGGCUACAGUAAGCAGUGAUCUACAGAAUCGCAUGGUCAAGGAAUUGGUGCCUUUUGGAGCCUACUUGUGGAUUGGCCUCUUUAGAUUUCCAAACUUUUUCUGGUCUGAUGGCAGCAGCGUCUUGUUCAGCAACUGGGAUGAUGCCGACAAUCCAAUUAACUCAAUGACUAUGAUCUGUGGCAUAACAUCUGGAGACAGUAAUGGAAGAUGGAGGUUUUUGUCCUGUGAAACAAAAUUACCUGUUGUCUGCUACUACGACCCCCCACUGACAAAGCAGAGGGUGAAGCUGAGACUGAAGACUGAGGACUCUGUGAAUCUCAACGAGGCCGUUCUGAAAGAGAG